rnacentral:lncRNA from 10 species
UUGCCCAGGCUGGUCUUGAACUCCUGAGCUCAAGUAAUCCUCCCAGCUCAGUCUCCCAAAGUGCUGGGAUUACAAGCGUGAACCACCAUGCCCAGCCUCUCUGUGUCUUAUGAUAAAAAAAAUACUGGAUGAGACAAGACUGAGGAGGAAGACCCAGGGACCCUUUUUAGCAGAGCUUACCAGCGGGUGUCCAAGGAUUGAAUUUCCCUUCCUAGACAUGUUUUGCUUCAACUAAAAAGAUAUAUAUAUAUAUAUAUAUAUAUAUGAUGUAUAUCACACACAUAUGUGUAUAUCACACACAUAUGUAUGUAUAUCACACACAUGUGUAUAUCAAACACAUAUGUAUAUCACACACAUAUGUAUGUAUAUCACACACAUAUAUGUAUGUAUAUCACACAUAUAUGUAUGUAUAUCACACAUAUAUAUGUAUGUAUAUCACACACAUAUAUGUAUGUAUAUCACACAUAUAUAUGUAUGUAUAUCACACAUAUAUAUGUAUGUAUAUCACACAUAUAUGUAUGUAUAUCACACAUAUAUGUGUGUAUAUCACACAUAUAUGUGUGUAUAUCAUAUAUAUAUAUGCAUGACCCAUAUUUAAAAGUAGGAUAUUUCAUAACGAAAUACCAGUAUUAGGUAUCUUUUGAAAAAGUGUCGUAACUGACAGCCCAAGUCUGCAUUCCUUCAUGGCACCAGGGCUAGAACUGAGAAGUAGCUGACUUUUUGGGGUGGAUAUGGGCUCCCCUAGUCAUGCUAUAUGCCUCAUUUUAUGUGACUGGCCGGGCCCCAUAGGCGUUUAUGUUUGCCACUCUUUUAGAGGUCCCUUUAAGGUUGACAUAUAUUCAUUGAUUGAUCAACUCAUUUACACACGCAUGCAGUCAUUUUUUGGACCCCUGUCUAUGUGCUCUGCACAAUGCGAGGUGUGGGAUAUAAUGGUGACCAAGACAGAUUCCAACCACUCACUCACAGAUCCCACAGCCUACCAGGGAAGCCAGAUAUGGAACAAUUAUAUACGUAAUUUUACUUGUAAGUGCCACAAAGACAAAUUGUAUUAAGUAGUACCAUGUGGCUGUGGAAGUUUAACUUGUCACUAAUCCACCAAACUCUGAGAAGACAGCAUAUUUUCCGUCAUUCCCAAAAGACUAUCACAGGCAACAUUGAGGAAUGCUUUGUUAAACUCCAGGGAUAUAUUCCACAUCACACUUCCCCCGUCCACCAGAUUAGCAACUGUCCAAGGACAAAACAAAACACACACUAAAAAGGAAAUGGGGUUAGUCCGAUAUGUCUCCAUCUCCUUAUGCUGGUUCUUUUGUCUGCAGAAGCCACGGUUUCUUUUUCUUUUUGAAAAAAAAAAAUGACAUUUGCGUACCUCUCUGCGUUUCUCUUUCUCCAGGAUUCUUCUGGGAUCCUAGGCAGUGUGGUUUGGUGAUCUCACUGGUGAGAUCUCUUGGAGCCCUGGAAUGCAAUUCAUCUGGGCCAGAAGAGUUGAACUAAUUUAAGGACAUCUGAGUGCUUCACUGAUGUAUUUGUUCUGCUCUGUCCCUUCAAAAUACCACUACUCAAAACAAUGUUCAGCUGGAGAAAGUGGUUAACACUGGAAUUUUCUUUUUUUCUGAGACCUAAGUGACAGGGAAGGGUGGAUGAAGGAAACAUAUCCUUUGAAAAUCCUUUAGUUAGAAUCCUUUGGUUGCAAGUAACAUAAAUGAACUCUGAUUAAUGUAAGCAAAAAAGAAUUUGUUAGAAGGAUAUGGGGGGGGAGGGAUGGACAGAGAUGUGAAGGAAAAGAUGAAGAACCAGGCUUUAGAAAGUCCUGAAACCAAAUGAAUUCUAGGGAUCUAGGAAGCAGGGACUAAUGACUGUUUCCUUCAGGACACCAGAGAUGGGGUGAAUAACUCUGUAAAAGAUGCAAAUUUCCCACCUGGGUAACAUAGUGAGACCCUGUCCUUAAAAAAAAACAGUAGCCAGGCACAGUGCCUUGAGUCACACGACCAUCUCUGACUUGUUGACCCCUCUACAAUCCCAUAUAAGACUCCCCAAGAGUAGAUUCUGAGCAGGUAAAGCCCAUGGGUGUUCCCAAAAGUCGGCCUCAACCUGAAGCCACUUAUUCACUCUGAGCUCAUCACCAAUGGCAUGCCGCACUGUCAAAACUCUCUUUCUGUGCAUUUGUCUGGGCCACUCAACUCAGGAAAGUUAGUUGUUCUGUGUGAGUCCCCAUGUUCUCACUGAUUUCAUUUCAGUCUUUAAGCUAAAAAUCUGUGUAAAUGGUAAUGGAGAAUGGCUACAUCACACUUAGUAUGUGUCAAAGCAGUAUCCUAAGUGCCUUAGUGGUAUCAGCUUAUUUAAGACUGACAGUACUCUGAGGUGCAGUCACUUCUUUUUUUUUUUUUCCUUUUUUUCAAAACAGAGUCUCACUCCGUCAUCCACACUGGAGUGCAGUGGCAUGAUCUCGGCUCACCGCAACCUCCGCCUCCCAGGGUCAGGUGAUCCACCCACCUGGGCCUCCCAAAGUGCUGUAAUUACAGGCGUGAGCCACCGCACCCGGCCUGUCACUUCUUGUCAUUCACAGUAGUUAUGUUCUGUAAAGUCACUGCAAACACUGAAUUAAUAAACACUGAACCAUUGUUCCUAGGUGAAAUACAAAGUUGGGUUCCUGUGAGCCUUUGGUCACAGCAUUUUCAUCCACUGAUCAACCCGUAAGCUUAUUCUGUGUGUGUUUCUGUUUAAAGACACCUUAAUAUAUAUUGUUGACUCAUUAACAUCUAACUCACUGCCAACAGCACUCCAACUCGUGCCUGAUCAAAGCUUAUAUAACACACGCAUGACACAUCUCGGACUCCUUGCACUUAGGAACACCAGAUAGCACUUCACCAUUACCCUAUGGGACCAUUUUACAGCAACGUCACCCUC